rnacentral:rRNA from 1 species
UAGCCGUAAACGAUACUCGCUAGGUGUCGGCCACGGUGCGACCGUUGUCGGUGCCGUAGGGAAGCCGUGAAGCGAGCCACCUGGGAAGUACGGCCGCAAGGCUGAAACUUAAAGGAAUUGGCGGGGGAGGCACAACAACGGGUGGAGCUUGCGGUUUAAUUGGAUUCAACGCCGGAAAUCUUACCGGGACCGACAGCAACAUGAAGGCCAAGCUGAAGACUUCGCCGGAUUAGCUGAGAGGAGGUGCAUGGCGUAGUCGUGU